GACACCGCCACUGUCGCUGCCGUCGCGGAACCCCGAGGCAGGGCGUGGUCGCGUUGUGGGCAGCACGAGCGGCCUUGCCUCUCCCCCUUCAGUAUGUCCUCAGCAGCAAUUCGUGACCUCCUCCUGACAGAUCCAAGGCCGUGGCCUUUGGGGUCCAAGUAACUGUACGCCAUGAGCCCUCAAGCAGCGCGUGUGUGGCCACUGCAUCAAGCAACGACCUCCACCACCAUCGUAAGGAAAUCCUCUUGAUGAAUGAAACCAAUGGUGAAGAAAGUUGUAAUUUCAACCAAAGGACCAGGUUGCGCUGAGGUAGUGGUGUGGUCCCGAUGAUGACGGCGAGGUUGACCUAAUGAUAAGCUUGAGAGUUAUUAUUCUGUUUAGCGUCUAUUGCGGCGCCGCUUGCAACGACCAUCCAGGACCUGCACCCUUGAAUCCGACGAUGAAGCCAUAUG